rnacentral:rRNA from 1 species
AUCCUCCCACCCUUUGUGUACCUACCUCUGUUGCUUUGGCGGGCCGCGGUCCUCCGCGGCCGCCCCCCUCCCCGGGGGGUGGCCAGCGCCCGCCAGAGGACCAUCAAACUCCAGUCAGUAAACGAUGCAGUCUGAAAAACAUUUAAUAAACUAAAACUUUCAACAACGGAUCUCUUGGUUCUGGCAUCGAUGAAGAACGCAGCGAAAUGCGAUAAGUAAUGUGAAUUGCAGAAUUCAGUGAAUCAUCGAAUCUUUGAACGCACAUUGCGCCCUUUGGUAUUCCGAAGGGCAUGCCUGUUCGAGCGUCAUUACAACCCUCAAGCUCUGCUUGGUAUUGGGCACCGUCCUUUGCGGGCGCGCCUCAAAGACCUCGGCGGUGGCGUCUUGCCUCAAGCGUAGUAGAACAUACAUCUCGCUUCGGAGCGCAGGGCGUCGCCCGCCGGACGAACCUUCUGAACUUUUCUCAAGGUUGACCUCGGAUCAGGUAGGGAUACCCGCUGAACUUAAGCAUAUCAAUAAGCGGAGGAA